rnacentral:rRNA from 1 species
GAUGAACGCUGGCGGCGUGCCUAAUACAUGCAAGUCGAACGCAUAGCGAAAGGUGCUUGCACCUUUCAAGUGAGUGGCGAACGGGUGAGUAACACGUGGACAACCUGCCUCAAGGCUGGGGAUAACAUUUGGAAACAGAUGCUAAUACCGAAUAAAACUUAGUGUCGCAUGACCCAAAGUUAAAAGGCGCUUCGGCGUCACCUAGAGAUGGAUCCGCGGUGCAUUAGUUAGUUGGUGGGGUAAAGGCCUACCAAGACAAUGAUGCAUAGCCGAGUUGAGAGACUGAUCGGCCACAUUGGGACUGAGACACGGCCCAAACUCCUACGGGAGGCUGCAGUAGGGAAUCUUCCACAAUGGGCGAAAGCCUGAUGGAGCAACGCCGCGUGUGUGAUGAAGGCUUUCGGGUCGUAAAGCACUGUUGUAUGGGAAGAACAGCUAGAAUAGGAAAUGAUUUUAGUUUGACGGUACCAUACCAGAAAGGGACGGCUAAAUACGUG